rnacentral:tRNA from 1 species
GCGUUGGUGGUUCAGUGGUAGAAUACUCACCUGCCGCGUGGGUGACCCGGGUUCGAUUCCCGGCCAACGCA